AAGAAUAUAUUGUGCUUAGUAAAGUUAUGCAUUGUGCUUAUUAAAGUUCUGUCUUAUGAACUGAGAAGUGUGCUCAGGCUUAAACAUUGAGUUUCGACCACAGAGUGUGGGAAAAAGGCUGUAUUUUGUGACUCUAUCUCUUCAUUUUCAGAAACAACCUUGAAACCGGGUGGAGACGGCACCCGAGCAGGUGGGACACGUAGGCAAGAACAACUCCCUGUUGCACAGGAGAACAAGCUCAACCCUCUUCUUGUGUUUUUGUUUUACUGCACUCUAUAAUAUAUGCUGGGGCAGAGACAGAUAGCCAGUUGGACUUCGUGAACCAGCCCAAACUCUGUUGCGGGUAGGGAAACAUAGACAACCCCAGAGCUCUGUACUUGUUGAUUUCCAACUGCUGCAUUAAAGCUGAUAUUAUCGGA